UGGGGAAUAUUGCACAAUGGGGGAAACACUGAUGCAGCGACGCCGCGUGAGCGAUGAAGUAUUUCGGUAUGUAAAGCUCUAUCAGCAGGGAAGAAAAUGACGGUACCUGACUAAGAAGCACCGGCUAAAUACGUGCCAGCAGCCGCGGUAAUACGUAUGGUGCAAGCGUUAUCCGGAUUUACUGGGUGUAAAGGGAGCGUAGACGGAGUGGCAAGUCUGAUGUGAAAACCCGGGGCUCAACCCCGGGACUGCAUUGGAAACUGUCAAUCUAGAGUACCGGAGAGGUAAGCGGAAUUCCUAGUGUAGCGGUGAAAUGCGUAGAUAUUAGGAGGAACACCAGUGGCGAAGGCGGCUUACUGGACGGUAACUGACGUUGAGGCUCGAAAGCGUGGGGAGCAAACA
rnacentral:rRNA from 1 species